UUUUUAAUGCAAUCCUUGAAAACGCACCUUUGUGUCCCAUUUAACCUUACUUUCAAUUUUCGUUUUGCCAUUUCCAAGGGUAUUUUGGGGGCUUUUUGAAUAUGUACGAUAUGGGAAUUGUCAUAUCCAUGAACAAAAGUGGGAUGUCAUUCCGGGCAGAAACCUCAAUGUUACAGCUGUUUCAGCACCAUUCCUUGGGUUGGCUUCAAGAGAUCCCUGAUCAGCUGUCUUCAAGAGAUCCCUGAUUCUGCUGUAGAUGUGUUCUUGGAGUACAUCAGAGGAAAUGAUAAAGAGUUGUCAGAUUCCUGCUUAUCAGGCUCAGUAUUCUCCACAAGCUGUCCAGCAAACUGUGGUGUGAACUCUGCCAUAGUGAUAUUCUGCUCUUGCAUUAAGAUCGAGUAUGCGGAAGACAUCCAACUGGAAUUCAUCAGAACAGAUUGUCAAUUGGCCAGGAAAAUAUAUUGCGAGAACUAAUUUCGGAGGUCGACAUUUUGAAGUCCAUCUAGUUGGGUGUUAGUCGUUAUUCCUGGCAUACGUUCCUAUGAAAACAUUUACGCAUGUGUGCAGGUUCAUCUAUGUUUGGUAAGUAGGGCCGUUAUUAUUAUAUGGAUUAAUUUACCAUGACAAAAACGCCGACUGAAAGGCGUAGUACUGAUAAAAGUACCCGACUCGAAUUGCACAACUUCAACCAACUGAUGUCAUUCUAUUUCUGGGGGUUUCCCUAGCACGCAAUCUCUAUAACUACGUGUAUAUAGCAGCUAACAUUGCAGCUAGUUGUUGACACUUGGCGACUACACAGACGAAGAAGAACACGGAAGAAAGCUGCUCGUAACGAGGAUUUGCCCACUAAUUACAGGUAUCGGACUCAACUGCUUGAUCUUAGGUCAUGUCGAAUCCACAGCGCAGAUACGGCUACUUUAAAUGUCCGGAAUGCAAUCGAGGUUGGGAGAGCUCCUGGGCAUGGUGUUACAGAGGCACAUUCAAGCCAUCAUCUGGCCAGCAGUGCCAGAAUUCUGGCUGCUCGGAUGACUACGUCAAACCGUACAGAGUAGAGCGUCUGAAGUGCUCGGUUUGCGGGUCGAACCAGGGGUGCAGUUGCAGUCGUGACGGGCGCAAUGUGGACCCGGCUAAGCCCCACAGGAGUGAGCUGUGCGAGCGAUGCAUCAAAGGACAGCCCUGCAAAUAUCGUCGAUAUUAGGCAGCCCGGGUAUAAUGUCAGAUUAUGCAUACCGUACCGGAGUCCGUGGAUGUAGUUACCAGUAGCAAUAGUCUGGUUUCCUCACCCCAUUGUCCUUCGGACUUCAAAAAUAGGGUUCGGUAACUAAAUGCACCAUUACACGGAAUAAUGCCAAUGUAUUCAUGACGUCUUAAGUCUGAAUUCCGCCUCCUGAUAUGCAUUCAAAAUCACAACGGUAAUGUUUGUGCACAACCAGCCUAUUGCAAAAUCAGGCCACGAAUUUACAAUUUCGGAGGUAGGCCUAAUGAGCUUCAAGUUUGCUAAAUUCGAAAGUGUCUCUCGUAACUAUUAAUAAGGAGAGGGUAUUACUUAAAACCUAUGCAGUUGGAAUACUUGAAAUUUGUUUUUUUUAUGGAGACACUGGCGAUUUUGGGUACUUUUUGUGGUAAGAGAAGAGCGAGUUUUGUUUUAUAAUGUGUUCAAGUAUGGUCCAUGCACAAAGUGAUUAAAAAAACUGAACAAUCGUGCUGCGCGCGCAGAUGUGAUCCAAAUGGGAGCUAGUUACCUGUCCCCGUAUAUUUUUUUUUUUGGGGGGGGCACCGUCUACAGUUGCAACUGCCCACUCUGUUAUUUUAUUUACGCAAUUAAGAUAGGGAAAAAAGAAAUAACUUAAUGUACAAAUACCAAAACUCAUCUGCAUGUGCCAAGGAUGUACAUAGGCCUACUUAUAGCAUUCACCGAAAAAUUAUUAAUUAAUGGCAUGUUUGCCCCGAAACCACUUCAAUUUGUUUUUAUUCUACUUCAGAUGAGUUUCAAGUAGGACCUUUGUCUUAUGGUACCAGAAGUGGGGGAAUAUAAUGGGAUGUUAAAUAAAAAAAUUAAUAAUAAUAAUACAAAAGUAUUUAUAUAGCGCUUUACAAAGAACAAAGCGCUUAACACUCAUCCACAACAACAAAAUAACAGAAAGAGAAACAGACACGAUACGAUUACGAUUGGAUGUGACUAACUAUAGCAUUUCACAAUACCGGAAAUUCCCAGUGCAUGCAAUCAUAGAGUGGAUGCGUCAUCAAAUCAUGCUUUCCCGCACGGAUGUUCACAUUUUGCAUGUACCAUCCGAAUCAUUAAUAUUAUAAUACAGAGUUUUACACUGAAAUUUUAAUAACAGCCUGCAUUUUUGUUAGGCCAAAAAAAAAGUCUACGGUUUUUGGUAUGCGCGCGCGUCGCCGUAGCCA
rnacentral:lncRNA from 1 species